ensembl:rRNA 5S_rRNA 5S ribosomal RNA
GUCUAUGGCUUACUACCCUGAACACGCCUGAUCUCUUCUGAUCUCAGAAGCUAAGCAGGGUCGGGCCUGGUUAGUACUUUGAUGGGAGAUAGGUUGAUUGUUAUAGUCU